CCCGACUGAACGCGCCUCCCCAGUUCGUGAUGCGCUUCUUCUCCUCCUCUCUCCCCCAGCGCCCGCCUCUAGGAGUGGCCGCCGUUUCCCCGCGCGCACGACGCACCCACUGCCGUGUUCCACUCCCCUAACCCUCCUCAUCGUCGAGAUAGGCCUCCUAGAGGGCUAACGAUCCCAAUUGCUCCGAGCUGACCCGUAUCAACCCGCGCCGUACCUUCGAGGCCGCCACCUGCUCGUACCACCGAGCCAUGGAGGACAAGCUUGUCUCUCUUUCUCGCUCGUGUCCUACCUCCUUCCUCUCUUGUUCUCCUUCCUAUCCCUCUCCUCCUUCCUUCCCGCCGAGACCCAUCGACUAAGGCCGCCCCCAGCGGCCGUAGCUCCACCGCUCCGCUCCGGCCCACGCGACCGAAGAGGUAGUGAAGACCAAGGGGUGGCACCGACGUCCGGAGGAGAGGGAGAGGUAGAACGCGAGGAGGACGAGGUGAAGUACAGGCCGGCACCGACCGGUGUAGAUUUGUCUAAUGAUUAUGUCACUGUUUAAGUCCCCUAUGUUACAGUCUAAUGUAAGGCGCCUACAGAACGUCUAUUUUUAGGAACACCACCUCCAUAAUACACGAUGGUGAAAUAGUAAUGUAUUGGUUAAAGGUAAGAAGUAUUUAUCGUUGUUCGUCAAAAGGAGAGGUUCGUAUAAGUUUUCGCUUUUUUUUUUACAUAACAAAUAGGUUUGACAUACUACUCUAUCAAGUAUCACAACCUGAUUUUAACCUCUUGUGUUCAAAUAGUCUCUGUUAUUCCUAAACAGUAGUUCCUAGAUUCUCGAGACCAUUAUACAGGAAGAGGAGAAAACUAAGAGGAAAGUCCUGUAUUCUAACGUCUGAGAACAAAUAUUCAUAUUCCCACUUUCAUUGAAAUUUAUGACAUCGUGUGCAGAGCAAGCUAAACUAAGUUUCACGUUAUUACAUGUCUUGUAAUUGCUAAUGAGAGAGGAAGGCCUUUAUUCACUGCUACAAAAUUAAGUUUUAACUUGACAACAUUUUAUGUAUACAAGUUGAGGAAGGGGCCGCGGUGCGAAACCUCCGAACGAGACGAGUCGUAAGGGGCUGGUUUGAGAGGAAGGUACAGGAAUACGGCCUCUGUGUGGUCGAUGAACUAUCGUCCACGUUUUAUCUCGUCGCGAGGGUGUUAAAAAACAGGCUCCGUACAAAAAAACCCCCUCCUAGAACUGAAGCAGCGUCUAAUGAGAUUACGUCAGUACAUCCAGGCGUAGCGCCACUGUAGAACAACGCGGUAGAACUACCGUGAUGAAGCGUCCGUCUUUGGAGAGCGGCCUAGCGCAGGAUAGUAUAGACAUGUGAGGAUUGAAACCUAUUUUCUUCAGAUUAACUCCAAUUCUUUCCUCACUUUAUUCGUAGACCCGGAGUAUUAAAAACACGUUUGCUCUCUGGAUGUCUCUGUGGUAGUACCCACAACACAUAAAUGUUUGUAUUCUCACGUUUCCUUCGAAUGAGACACAACCACGGGACAAGAAAAUAUACAAAGAGUUCGUCGAGUAGAACUGACCAAUAGCCGUGCUGUUAUCAGCAUGGGGACCGGUGCUGGGGUCUCUCCUUAGAGAAAGAGGGUCUGACGGUCCCACGUAAAAUUGCAACUCAUAGAAAUAAAACCAGUACCAGACUCACAUUUGAUUGACUACGUGGGAAUUUCUUUAGACCAAUGAGAAAGUGAAGACCUAAAUAAUCGUUUGACAAGUACUUUUAGACUUGACACAUUAACACAUAUACAUUUAUAUGUGAAGAAUGAACUGUUUUAUUUGGCAUACUCCAGGUUUUAUUUAAAAACUACCGGAAGAAGGUAAAUAAUGGAACGUAAAACUACUACUCUUACAGACCAGUAUCAUUACGUACCUCGUUUCCUUUAAUGGAAGAGUACAAAUACACAUAAAGGGGUACUAUUCUUGUACAAGUACAUACUCAAACAAAGAACUAAGUCACAAAGUUAAAGUUAGUACUCAAAAGAAGAACUAAGUCGCAAAGUUUUCGAUUCGAGCCACUCAUAAGUCUUUUCUAACUUCUUGAUCGACGGUGCGAGUGACGAGUUCGUUAUACAAAAAUUGUACAGUUAAGUAUAACUAUACAACUUAAGCAUGUGGACGUCAAACUUGACUAAAGGGCCUGGUCAUGUACAGUGGUAAUGAAUGUCAGAUCGAAGAUCUAUGUGUAAGUAAUGUUAGGAAACCUAUGUCGAUCUUUUACUUGUAGGUGAACUACUCUAGUUUCUUCUUUAUAGGACAGUAAUCGGGCUAAGAAAAUAUAUACGCUUAGACAAAUCCCUCUUCACCACGAUCGAAAUAACGGUCCUUUUUAACUCGAAUCACGGAGAUGUUCACCGUGUUGUAUGUGCAAAUAUAAUAUUUCCCGUAUAACAAAGAAGUCAGGAUAAAGUUAUAUAUUCCAUACGUAAACUUAAAUUAUUAUGAGAAAAAAACAGUAAAUAGACAACAGAAAAGUAUGAUUUAUAAAGAGUGUGUAUGGGUUCUAUGAUUAUCUUACUUCGGUGUAAUUAAAUCCUUAGUGUUGUUAUGAGUACAAAUUUGAUUUACGAUGGAAAAAAUUCAAACUUGAAAUUUACGAUCGAUAAAGCUAGAAAAAGGCACCGUUAUGGUUUAUAAAAGAAGGCCAUUUUUUGGGUCUGUACAAGGAUAUACUGAGAGGGGAAAGAUACACUUUAUGAUUAAGAAUAUAAUAAUAAACGUCCGAGCCUUAGUAAUUGCACAGUUACAGUGGAGCUUAUCACUAACAAGACACAUGCCUUCCAGGAAGCACAUCGAAAGUAAGCCGUGAUCCAGAGACAACUAUGACUUAAACAUUCAUUGAACGUUCAUUGUCUGCAAAACUGUUACUAGUGAUGAUGGUUACUCCUGGUGACCGUUCUAUAUCGUGUUGUUGGACCAGGGACAAGGCAUUUCUAUCUACUUCCAAGUCUACGUCUCACUUUCGGACGUGGUUGUUCAACAUAUACCUUGGACCGCUGAACUACUAGUUACUUGUUAGUAAACUUAACACGAGGUACUAUAAGUUCGAUGAUAACAUUCUUUAACUUUCUUCAAGUACAAAACGGC
rnacentral:rRNA from 1 species